ACUCCUACGGGAGGCAGCAGUGAGGAAUUUUCCGCAAUGGGCGAAAGCCUGACGGAGCAAUACCGCGUGAAGGAAGAAGGCCCGUGGGCUGUAAACUUCUUUUCUCAGAGAAGAAGAUCUGACGGUAUCUGAGGAAUAAGCACCGGCUAACUCCGUGCCAGCAGCCGCGGUAAU
rnacentral:rRNA from 1 species